CAAUUGACCUUGACUGGGAGUGAACUCAGCCAAGCUCUGCUAUUUCCAAUGGAACACAGCCAAUUUAUGGAAGGGCAAGAAGCUUGUGCUACUAUAGCCUGCUAAUACUGGGAAGAAGUGUCUGUUACACCUCAAGCAGCCUAAGGACUCUGAGAGGCUGCACAGAGACAUGAUAUGAGGUACCAACCCUGGAUCUCACUUGAAAAACUUGCAAAGGAAAACUACUCCCAGCCGCACAGAGAGAAGGACAUGCCCACCUCUCAUGGUAAAAACAUCACUCACAAGUCCUGAAUGAUCUUAAAUGACACAUCCUUUCCCUAAAGUAUCCCAUUUCUUAUCACAACUCCAUGAGGAAAGGCUCAUUACUAUCCUGACUUACUGGUCGUUUCUGGAAGUACUUGGUUAGAGAGGGCUGACACUGAAGAUGUCCAUCAUUGACAGUGAAGAGUUACCCCCGUCAGCCACCACCCAUUAGAGUGAAUCAAGACCAGCCAGAGAUCCAAGACACAGUGGGCGGUUCACCAUCAGCAGAAAGACCACUGAGGAUUUCAGCACAUGAGAACUAAAAGUUCAUAGAAAACAUUUUUAACAAGUCUUUUUCUCUUUUUACAGUUAAAAAACGAUGGUACUGUGUACCCCAAUUAAAU
ensembl:lncRNA